rnacentral:rRNA from 1 species
UACGUAGGGUGCGAGCGUCAAUCGGAAUUACUGGGCGUAAAGCGUGCGCAGGCGGCGCGUUAAGACAGGUGUGAAAGCCCCGAGCUUAACUUGGGAAUUGCGCUUGUGACUGGCGAGCUGGAGUGUGGCAGAGGGAGGUGGAAUUCCACGUGUAGCAGUGAAAUGCGUAGAGAUGUGGAGGAACACCGAUGGCGAAGGCAGCCUCCUGGGCCAGCACUGACGCUCAUGCACGAAAGCGUGGGGAGCAAACAGG